rnacentral:tRNA from 1 species
GCCCGGGUGGCGUAAUCUGGUAGCCGCAGCUGACUUAAAAUCAGCCGGGAGAAAUCCCAUGUGGGUUCGACCCCCACCCCGGGCA